ACUUAUGAUGAUAUUUGAUUUGAAAUCAAGUUAAUUGCUUUUGAUAGCAACGUGAGUU
rnacentral:tRNA from 1 species